rnacentral:rRNA from 1 species
UACAGAGGGUGCAAGCGUUGUUCGGAAUUACUGGGCGUAAAGGGCUCGUAGGCGGCCAACUAAGUCGGAUGUGAAAUCCCCAGGCUUAACCUGGGAACUGCAUCCGAUACUGGAUGGCUUGAAUCCGGGAGAGGGAUGCGGAAUUCCAGGUGUAGCGGUGAAAUGCGUAGAUAUCUGGAGGAACACCGGUGGCGAAGGCGGCAUCCUGGACCGAUACUGACGCUGAGGAGCGAAAGCUAGGGGAGCAAACAGG